AUUGAACGCUGGCGGCAUGCUUUACACAUGCAAGUCGAACGGCAGCGGGGGCUUCGGCCCGCCGGCGAGUGGCGAACGGGUGAGUAAUGCAUCGGAACGUGCCCAGUCGUGGGGGAUAACACAUCGAAAGAUGUGCUAAUACCGCAUACGUCCUGAGGGAGAAAGCGGGGGAUCUUCGGACCUCACGUGAUUGGAGCGGCCGAUGUCAGAUUAGCUAGUUGGUGAGGUAAAGGCUCACCAAGGCGACGAUCUGUAGCGGGUCUGAGAGGAUGAUCCGCCACACUGGGACUGAGACACGGCCCAGACUCCUACGGGAGGCAGCAGUGGGGAAUUUUGGACAAUGGGGGCAACCCUGAUCCAGCCAUGCCGCGUGAGUGAAGAAGGCCUC
rnacentral:rRNA from 1 species